GAUGAACGCUAGCUACAGGCCUAACACAUGCAAGUCGAGGGGCAGCGGGAAGGAAGCUUGCUUUCUUCGCCGGCGACCGGCGCACGGGUGCGUAACGCGUAUCGAACCUACCCUUUACUCGGGAACAGCCUUGCGAAAGCAAGAUUAAUGCCCGAUGUUCCGCGUUUGCUGCAUGGCAAAUUCGGCAAAGAUUUAUUGGUAAAGGAUGGCGAUGCGUCCCAUUAGUUAGUUGGCGGGGUAACGGCCCACCAAGACGACGAUGGGUAGGGGUUCUGAGAGGAAGGUCCCCCCACAUUGGAACUGAGACACGGUCCAAACUCCUACGGGAGGCAGCAGUGAGGAAUAUUGGUCAAUGGGCGAGAGCCUGAACCAGCCAAGUAGCGUGUGGGACGAAUGCCCCUAUGGGUUGUAAACCCACUUUUUGCAGGAGGGUAAAAUGCUUCACGUGUGGAGUAUUGCAAGUAUCCUGCGAAUAAGGACCGGCUAAUUCCGUGCCAGCAGCCG
rnacentral:rRNA from 1 species